CACCGCAGGCACUAUGGCGGAUGCCUCUUCCAUUUCAACAUCGUAGCUACCCUCCAGGGGUUCUUUCCUCAGUUCAUACAUCUCUGUGGAAAGCACCAAGAAUCCAGAGAAAGACAGACUUUGAUGACUAAAUUUGCCAACGAAGGACCUCCGCACCACCUUCCUGUUCAAGUGAGCACAGCACAACAAGCUCGAUGGGUUCUCUGCGGUUCCAUAGCUCUUCUUGGGUGCCAUGGCAAUCUCGCUGUUGAGCUCCGUCUCUUCGGCCA